UCCACUCCCACCCCACCGAACUCUCUCGUGAGUCCUUAAAAAAAACUCUCUAACCUCACCCCCACCACUUGGUCGACCUCCUCUCCCCCACGAUCUCUUCCCCGCCGCCGCCACCCACGCCGGCCGAUUCCGGCGAGCUCCGGCCGCGCGCUAGACGCCCCCAAGCUCCACCCCUCCCUCCCCAUCGUCCAGAUCCGUGCCUCAAGGCGUACAUCCUUGCCCGCGGCUAGGGUUUCGGGAGCCUCCCGUGUUCUUGCCGGAAUCCACCACAAUCGGCGAUGGCGAGGCCGGCGCUUGCGGGAUCCGUCACUGGCGUUGCCCAGGUCACCAUGGCGCGGAGGAGGAGGGGCACACCUAGCCGCCAGCCCUGCUCUACUCGAGGAGGAGGGGCCUGCUCCUAGGGCGACCAAGAGGUCCUGCACGAGCUCAAGCAUGGCCACGAUGACCCACCACGGCAGUUUGUUGAAUCUCGUGAGAUACUAAAUUCACCAAAUCCUCGAGCAAGUAUAUGGGAGAGAAGGAUGCAGUAGCAUUGAAGCUUAGUAUUUUUCCAAUGAAAAACCAUUAUAUGGCUGCUUCACACCAUCUUGAGUUGUAUCAGGAUAUUUGUUAACUGCAGAAAAAGAGAAAUGUUAAUGUUUCCAUUUAAAUAUAUUGAGGGAUGACAUAUGUAAGUUAUUUCAGGUGAAUUUUGCUUCUAUUCUGGUUGUGGAUAGCCUUGGUAUCAAUGUGAUGAGGUUGGAUGGAGCAUCGAGGAUUUCAGGCUUGGGGUGGCCACGUGUUGCAGGAUCGCAGGAAGAGUUGGAUGUGUUCUGUAGAGACCAGGUGAUCAAUGUUGUUGCCGACAGUAGGGAACACGUGGACAUGAAGUUGCGGCGGCAACGAUGACGACGGCAUUGACAUUGUCACGGGGCCGCGGCGACGACGACGACAUCAUCACAGUGAUGCGGGGACGACGACGGUGUCGUCACGGUGCUGCUGCGGAGGCAACGAUGAUGACAUCAACACCAUCAACGGGCUUGUGGAGGCGCCGCCGACCUAUACAUGUGGUGUAUAAUGGAUAUAUAUAUAUAUAUAUAUGUGUGUGUAUUAAUUAUCUAUAUCAGAUAUGUAUGUUUGACUGUAUGCAUAACAUGUGUGUAUUAUGAAAUGCAUGUACGUGAGUACUAUAAAAUGAAAUAGGUAGAUUUUUUAAUCCUA